CCCGGGCUCCCGGACCUUGAAGGCGGAGAAGGCACCUCUGCUGCAAAUGUUUCAACGCUGCCACUGGCAUCUUCGUCCCAGAGGUUAGCGCAGAUAAGAAGG